rnacentral:rRNA from 1 species
UACGAAGGGGGCUAGCGUUGCUCGGAAUCACUGGGCGUAAAGCGCACGUAGGCGGUUUCUUAAGUCAGGGGUGAAAUCCUGGAGCUCAACUCCAGAACUGCCUUUGAUACUGGGAGACUUGGAGUCCGGGAGAGGUGAGUGGAGCUGCGAGUGUAGAGGUGAAAUUCGUAGAUAUUCGGAAGAACACCAGUGGCGAAGGCGGCUCACUGGUCCGGUACUGACGCUGAGGUGCGAAAGCGUGGGGAGCAAACAGG